rnacentral:rRNA from 1 species
UACGUAGGGACCAAGCGUUGUCCGGAAUCAUUGGGCGUAAAGCGCGCGUAGGUGGCCAUUUAAGUCCGCUGUGAAAGUCAGAGGCUCAACCUUUGAAAGCCGGUGGAUACUGGAUGGCUAGAGUACGGAAGAGGCGACUGGAAUUCCUGGUGUAGCGGUGAAAUGCGCAGAUAUCAGGAGGAACACCAAUGGCGAAGGCAGCUCGCUGGAACGGUACUGACGCUGAGGCGCGAAAGCGUGGGGAGCGAACAGG